UGGCUACAUAGCUCAGCGGUAGAGCAACCGGCUGUUAACCGGUUGGUCGUAGGUUCGAUCCCUACUGUAGCCGCCAUGGCCUGUUGGUGAAGUGACUGAACACACACGCCUUUCACGCGUGCAUUCACGGGUUUGAAUCCCGUACAGGUCACCAU
rnacentral:tRNA from 13 species